GUAGUACUCCCUUCGUCCGAAAAUACUUAUCAUCAAAAUGGGUAAAAAGAGAUGUAUCUAGUUUGAUGACAAGUAUUUCCGGACGGAGGGAGUAGUUG
rfam:Triticum aestivum genome assembly, contig: Triticum_aestivum_CS42_TGACv1_scaffold_160767_2DL